AGAGUUUGAUCAUGGCUCAGGAUGAACGCUGGCGGUCUGCUUAACACAUGCAAGUCGAACGGAAUCUUUCGGGAUUUAGUGGCGGACGGGUGAGUAACGCGUGAGAAUCUGCCUUCAGGUUCGGGACAACAGUUGGAAACGGCUGCUAAUACCGGAUGUGCCGAGAGGUGAAAGCUUAAGUGCCUGGAGAUGAGCUCGCGUCUGAUUAGCUAGUAGGAGUGGUAACGGCACCCCUAGGCGACGAUCAGUAGCUGGUCUGAGAGGAUGAUCAGCCACACUGGGACUGAGACACGGCCCAGACUCCUACGGGAGGCAGCAGUGGGGAAUUUUCCGCAAUGGGCGCAAGCCUGACGGAGCAAGACCGCGUGAGGGAAGAAGGUCUGUGGAUUGUAAACCUCUUUUGAUCGGGAAGAAGACAGUGACGGUACCGAUCGAAUCAGCUCGAUUUGCG
rnacentral:rRNA from 1 species